rnacentral:rRNA from 2 species
GGAUACCCGCUGAACUU